AAGAGCAAGAGGAGGAAAAAGAGAGUGAAAUGAAGCACGCAGGAACGAGGGAACAGGAAAUGUGAUGAGGAAGAGGAGGGAAAAAGAGAGGAAAUGCACACAGGAACGAGGUAAAAGAGAGGAAAUGAAGCACACAGGAACGAGGUAAAAGAGAGGAAAUGCACACAGGAACGAGGUAAAAGAGAGGAAAUGAAGCACACAGGAACGAGGUAAAAGAGAGGAAAUGAAGCAUGCAGGAACGAGGUAAAAGAGAGGAAAUGAAGCAUGCAGGAACGAGGAAAAAGAGAGGAAAUGAAGCACACAGGAACGAGGUAAAAGAGAGGAAAUGAAGCACACAGGAACGAGGUAACAGAGAGAGGAAAUGAAGCACGCAGGAACGAGGUAAAAGAGAGGAAAUGAAGCAUGCAGGAACGAGGGAACGGGAAAUGUGAUGAGGAAGAGGAGGGAAAAAGAGAGGAAAUGAAGCACACAGGAACGAGGUAAAAGAGAGGAAAUGAAGCACACAGGAACGAGGUAAAAGAGAGGAAAUGAAGCACACAGGAACGAGGUAAAAGAGAGGAAAUGAAGCACGCAGGAACGAGGUAAAAGAGAGGAAAUGAAGCACGCAGGAACGAGGAAAAAGAGAGGAAAUGAAGCACACAGGAACGAGGUAAAAGAGAGGAAAUGAAGCACACAGGAAUGAGGUAAAAGAGAGGAAAUGAAGCAUGCAGGAACGAGGUAAAAGAGAGGAAAUGAAGCACACAGGAACGAGGUAAAAGAGAGGAAAUGAAGCAUGCAGGAACGAGGGAACGGGAAAUGUGAUGAGGAAGAGGAGGGAAAAAGAGAGGAAAUGAAGCACACAGGAACGAGGUAAAAGAGAGGAAAUGAAGCACACAGGAACGAGGUAAAAGAGAGGAAAUGAAGCACACAGGAACGAGGUAAAAGAGAGGAAAUGAAGCACACAGGAACGAGGUAAAAGAGAGGAAAUGAAGCACACAGGAACGAGGUAAAAGAGAGGAAAUGAAGCACGCAGGAACGAGGUAAAAGAGAGGAAAUGAAGCACACAGGAACGAGGUAAAAGAGAGGAAAUGAAGCACACAGGAACGAGGUAAAAGAGAGGAAAUGAAGCACACAGGAACGAGGUAAAAGAGAGGAAAUGAAGCACGCAGGAACGAGGUAAAAGAGAGGAAAUGAAGCACGCAGGAACGAGGAAAAAGAGAGGAAAUGAAGCACACAGGAACGAGGUAAAAGAGAGGAAAUGAAGCACACAGGAACGAGGUAAAAGAGAGGAAAUGAAGCAUGCAGGAACGAGGAAAAAGAGAGGAAAUGAAGCACACAGGAACGAGGAAAAAGAGAGGAAAUGAAGCACACAGGAACGAGGUAAAAGAGAGGAAAUGAAGCAUGCAGGAACGAGGAAAAAGAGAGGAAAUGAAGCACACAGGAACGAGGUAAAAGAGAGGAAAUGAAGCAUGCAGGAACAAGGGAAUGGGAAGUGUGAAGAGGAAGAGUGUGCCGUCUUUUCUAAAAGCGCAGACUCGGCGAGUCCCUGACUCAGCAUGAGGCCACUUGUAAAGAAUAUUCCACGCGAGCCUCGUCCAUAUGCCGCUCUUUCCCCGGCCAAAUUCCGUGCAGACGGAGCGGGCGCAUCUCCAGACGGGUUUCCGCAACCUUUUAUGGAGACUUCCGGAAGGUUCUUAUAUAAAAGAUCUGAGCACUUCCUGUUCCUCUGUGUAACGCAUAGCAAAUAUAAAAAGAUCAAAACUGCUGGCAUUUUGGAGCGUUUCCAAGAUGGCCGCCAAGCGGGAUAGACUAUAAGGACUAUAAGGACUAUAAGGAUGAUUAGCAGGUUUGUGUUGGAGGCUAACUGCAGCUCUGUCUCCAUAAUAAACUCUCAGCUCUUCUCUUUACUUUCUCCUGAGGAGGGACAGUUCUGGGAAGAGGAAGAGGAAGAUGGAGGGAAAGAGGAAGAGGAAGAACAGUGGAAAAAAUCAGCAAAAAAGAUUUAGGCUUAGAGGUAAAGAAGAGAAGAGUGUCCGGUCUCUGCAUGCUGUCAGAGUUGUGUAAGAAUCAGAGGUUUCUCUCUACAGUUUCCUCUGUAACUCGACAAGCUGCAUUUUUUAAUCUGAUUAAAUAUGAGAGAGACAAAGAAGUCAGAAGUCAUACGAAAACUCAUUUCUUGGAUGUUCCUCAAGAUGAAAUGUAACCAUAAAUGGAUAAAAUAAAAAUGUUGACAAUAAUAAAUAAACCAACGGCAGGUUUUGGGGUUAUUGAUUAUUUUCCUAUAUCUGAACACCGGUAAGUGUUUUAUUCCUGAUUUACAUCAUAUAAAUAUUCAUAGCAAUAGCAACUAACUUGUCACUCAAAUGCUCUGUAUCAUGUAACGUAUUUUAGCGAGUUAGCUCAUCUCUGACAGUACGCUGUGUAAAUAAGAUCAAUAACUAAUAAAUAAUUCAGACGCUUCUUUUAUCAUCAGGCUCAUAAAGCGUCUCCUCUCCCCUGAGAUAAUGAGGAUGCAGCGACGAAGCCACCGGAGAUCCUUCAUUUAUAACCAGAGCUGAGACAGCCAGCGCUAGAUGUGACUAGAUGUGGGCGUGUCCAAAGCAGUGAUGUGAUGAAUAUGCAAAUAAGGGGCGACAUAUGCAAAUAAGGGGCGGCAACUACCAAUGAGAAUGAUGAUGGUAUGUGAUGCUGAGACACUGCUGGAUUUUAUACACAGACGUCUAAUCUCAUUCACAGGAAAACUGAUCUGGAACACUUGUUGCUCCGCCCACUGAUAUAUAUCGCCAUGGCAACCAGGAGUAGUGGAGGAAGGCCUGCAAAAGUAGGAGAUUGAUAUGAGAAAUGAGAUGAAAAAAAGAAAAAGGAGGAGAACUUUGAGAAGAAGGAAAAGGGUGAUGGAAAAGAAGGGAUGAGAAUAGAGAUAGGAGCAAGAGGAGGAGGAAGACAGAUGAAACAGGAAGAUGGAGGGAAAGAAGAAGAAUAAACAAAAAACAGCAGAAAAGGUUUUUGGCUUAGAGGAAUCAGACUGGGUUUCAGUUACUGUGAUGUAAAGAUCAGGACGUAGUGAGAUGGAGUUACAGCACUGAGUGUGACCCACUGGUCAAACACACACACUUUACACCUCCACUGUCUUGAAAAACCUCGUUUAUCUAAUAAACAUCAGAUAUAAUGUGAUGACAUCAUGCUGUUGAUCUGCUGUGGAAGUCUAUCUGAUUUAAAAAGCCAUGUUCAUGUUCAUGUCACAAUCAAACCUCAACUUCAUCAUCGGUCUCUUCUCUUUUUACUGAAAUAAUGUGAGCAUUGUGCCAUUUCUCUUCUUUCCCAUAACAGUGACAGCUCUUUGCAGGAACAGGAACUGGGUGGGAAACUGUUUCGGGCUCCAAAACUCCUUAGUUCCUCAAAAAGCUCUGGAAAUUUGUCAAAGCACAUUGUUUUUGGUCCAAAUAAGACAACUUCAAUUAGCACUUGUUUCAUUUAUUUUUACAGAAAUCCUUGAAAGUUGUAUUUCCCUUCUUGUUGUACUAAUACGGCUGUAGCUCAGUAGUAUUUAUCUAGUGCCCUACCAUGAAGAUGUGUUUUUAUAGAGACUUCUGGAUAAGCGAACAUGCAUUACAGCUCACAUGUGACCAGUCAGAGAUCUUCGUUAUGGAAAGCUUCAUUAAAAGGUGUUGACUAUUCAACAGGAACUAAAAAGGUUCCUGAAAUUGUGGUCCAGGAACUAAAAUCAACCCAGGUUCCUCAAAAAUACAGCGUUUAUGUGAGGAGGCGCUAGUUUAGCAUUAGUCUCUAGUAUGUAUGAGACUGUCAUUCAUCCCAGAGUUUCCAAGAAGGUUCUUAAUCCCAGAGUGAAUAAGACAGUAAUUAAUCCCAGAGUUAAUAAAAACAUGUUUAAUCCUAGGGUUCAUUAAAAAAAAAAUUAAUCCCAUAGUUAAUAAGACAGUAGUUAAUAACCCAGAGUUCAUAAAGCAGUA